rnacentral:rRNA from 1 species
GAGUAAGCUUGGGAAACUGGGUCUAAUACCGGAUAGGAGCCAUCUUUGGUGUGGUGGUUGGAAAGUUUUUUCGGUGUAGGAUGAGCUCGCGGCCUAUCAGCUUGUUGGUGGGGUAAUGGCCUACCAAGGCGGCGACGGGUAGCCGGCCUGAGAGGGUGUACGGCCACAUUGGGACUGAGAUACGGCCCAG